rnacentral:rRNA from 1 species
AUUGAACGCUGGCGGCAUGCCUUACACAUGCAAGUCGAACGGUAACAGGUCUUCGGAUGCUGACGAGUGGCGAACGGGUGAGUAAUACAUCGGAACGUGCCUAGUAGUGGGGGAUAACUACUCGAAAGAGUGGCUAAUACCGCAUGAGAUCUACGGAUGAAAGCAGGGGAUCGCAAGACCUUGUGCUACUAGAGCGGCCGAUGGCAGAUUAGGUAGUUGGUGGGAUAAAAGCUUACCAAGCCGACGAUCUGUAGCUGGUCUGAGAGGACGAUCAGCCACACUGGGACUGGGACACGGCCCAGACUCCUACGGGAGGCAGCAGUGGGGAAUUUUGGACAGUGGGCGCAAGCCUGAUCCAUCAAUGCCGCGUGCAGGAUGAAGGCCUUCGGGUUGUAAACUGCUUUUGUACGGAACGAAAAGCCCUGGGUUAAUACCCUGGGGUCAUGACGGUACCGUAAGAAUAAGCACCGGCUAACUACGUGCCAGCCGCCGCGGUAACAC